rnacentral:rRNA from 1 species
GAACCUUACCUGGGCUUGAACCGCACAGGACCAGCUUCAGAAAUGGAGCCUUCCCGCAAGGGACCUGUGUAGAGGUGCUGCAUGGCUGUCGUCAGCUCGUGCCGUGAGGUGUUGGGUUAAGUCCCGCAACGAGCGCAACCCUUACUCAUAGUUGCUACCCGCAAGGGAGAACUCUAUGAGGACUGCUCCGGAUAACGGAGAGGAAGGUGGGGAUGAGGUCAAGUCAGCAUGGCCUUUAUGUCCAGGGCUACACACGUGUUACAAUGCGCGCCACAAAGCGUUGCAAACCCGCGAGGGGGAGCUAAUCGCAAAAAAGCGCGCUCAGUUCGGAUUGCAGUCUGCAACUCGACUGCAUGAAGCCGGAAUCGCUAGUAUUGGCGCAUCAGAACGGCGCCGUGAAUACGUUCCCGGGCCUUGUCACACCGA